GCAGUGGUCAGGCAGUGGUAGUCAGUGGUCAGGCAGUGGUAAUCAGUGGUAAUCAGUGGUCAGGCAGUGGUUGUCAGUGGUCAGGCAGUGGUAGUCGGUGGUCAGGCAGUGGUAGUCGGUGGUCAGGCAGUGGUAGUCGGUGUUCAGGCAGUGGUAGUCGGUGGUCAGGCAGUGGUAGUCGUGGUAGUCCGUGGUCAGUCAGUGGUAGUCAGUGGUCAGGCAGUGGUAGUCAGUGGUAGUCGGUGGUCAGGCAGUGGUAGUCGGUGGUCAGGCAGUGGUAAUCAGUGGUCAGGCAGUGGUAGUCAGUGGUCAGGCAGUGGUAGUCAGUGGUCAGGCAGUGGUAGUCAGUGGUCAGGCAGUGGUAGUCAGUGGUCAGGCAGUGGUAAUCAG
ensembl:lncRNA